GAUGAACGCUGGCGGCGUGCCUAAUACAUGCAAGUCGAGCGAACGGACGAGAAUCUUGCUUCUCUGAUGUUAGCGGCGGACGUGUGAGUAACACGUGUAUAACCUACCUAUAAGACUGGUAUAACUUCGGGAAACCGGAUCUAAUACCAUAGGAUCUUUUGAACCGCGUGGGGCAAAGGUGAGAUUCGGUCUUGCGGUCACGUAUAGAUGGAUCCGCGCUGCAUUAGCUAGUUGGUCAGGUAACGGCUUACCAAGGCAACGAUGCAUAGGCGACCUGAGGGGCUGAUCGGCGGCCUUAGAACUGAGACACGGUCAAGACGACUAAGGGAGGCAGCAGUAGCGUACCUUACGCAAUGGGCGAAAGCAUGACGGAGUAACGCGAAGCGAGAGACGACGGUCUUCGGAUCGUAAAAAUCUGUUAUUAGGGAAGAACAUAUGUGUAAGUAACUGUGGACAGCGUGACGGUAACUAAUCAGAAAGCCACGGCUAACUACGUG
rnacentral:rRNA from 1 species